rnacentral:rRNA from 1 species
UACGGAGGAUCCAAGCGUUAUCCGGAAUUACUGGGCGUAAAGAGUUGCGUAGGUGGCAUGAUAAGUUGGUAGUGAAAGCCUGGGGCUCAACCCCUUACACAUUAUCAAAACUGUCAAGCUAGAGGAUGAGAGAGGUUAUUGGAAUUCCUGGUGUAGGGGUAAAAUCCGUUGAUACUAGGAGGAACACCGAUGGCGUAGGCAGAUAACUGGCUCAUUCCUGACACUAAGGCACGAAAGCGUGGGUAGCAAACAGG